GUUCAUGGCACAGAUCCUAAAUUCAUGUAUUGAUUUGUCUGGGGGGACUCAUUUAAGUUCAUGGUUUUCUUAUUUUUUAUAGGAGUCAUGGUCUAACUACAAAGAAUAUUAUGAUCAUCCAAAUUCAAAAACAAAAAAAAAGCUGUGAAAAGUUUACAGUACCAAUUUAUCAAUUCUGCUUGGUUCACUCAUGCUCCUGGAAGGUGGGAAUUUUGUCUUCUUUUGUGUGUUCCUCAUGGUACUAAGUCACUGCUCAUUAAAUGCCUGAUGACUUGAACUCAAACCCUGUGGUAGGUGAGUUUGUCUUUCCUUAUAAGAGAUGAUAUUACACCUUGGGUUAAAAUAUUUAUUAAAUUUAUAAAAUAAUUAACUUCAUAAAGUAAACCUAAACAAAAUGUAAUUCCCAUUCUUGGUUGUCAUAUAGUAAAUGUAUAGGUAUUUUGGCCAUGAUUGCUUUAGUCAAUUGUCAGCUUAUGUAAAAAUUUAAAUAAUAUCCAGUUGAUUGCAUAUUAAAAGUUUUAAGAAAUACCGAAUGACAUAAUAUGUCCUGCUAGAGUAGGAAAGUAAUCAAUA
rnacentral:lncRNA from 1 species